UAGGAGACUGACAUAGUACUUUCCUUGUUUAGGAGAGGGGGAAAGGAAAACCUUACUGUACGUUGCGGGAUUACUUGAUUUCAUGCUACAGUCACUUUUAGGUAGGGCUCCUGGGGGAAGCGGGACAAGGCAAGGGAAGAAGCGGAGGACACGGCCUCAGAGGACAGCAGUGCUGUUAGUGCCCUCGGCUCCCGAGGCUGUUCUGCAGCAGAGGCGUCGCACAACCAAGCAGUUGGGAAUGGGUCGUGCCUCCAACCUUGGCAAGAGGCAGGAGUGAGGAAGCACGCGAUGCCCAUACGGCUACACCGAGCGGUGCAGCAACCCAUUCCUCUCCCGGGGACCCGAUCCUGAGCGUUACUCCAGCAAGGCAGGUACUGUGUAACUGCAGAAGCUCACAGGGGCAAAGGCUGCGCGGUGCAGGAGGGCCCAGCUCCAUCAGGAGGGCUCUAGAGGCACAGAGAUCCUUAAGAGAAGCUGGAUUUCUCCCCUCCCUCUUUCCCAGUAGAUCAGCGCAAGCACCAAGGUGUUGGAGACCCGCUUGCUCCCACGACCAUCAAGCGCUGCAAGGUCACAGGACACAUUUUUGACCUCAUUUGCCCCACCAUAAGUGAGGGGCUAUGCAGUGACUGGGUUCACUGCAAGGGGAAGGGACACCCACCCUGAUCGCUUCCAUGCGACCCUGCUGGGGCAGAUUUUCAGCCACGGGGCAGUUCCGCUCUUGAACACGUCCUUGGUUCUUUGCAAAGGAGGUAGUGAGGGAUAAGUCGCCAAGUGCAGGGAGACAGACCCCAGUAACCUAAAGCUGGUGUUAAGAGACAGAAGGGAGUGAGUCCAUCCAAGGUAAUCUGCAGUGCGGGAAAGCUGCUGGCUUCCUCCAGGGACCACCGAGAGGCCAAGGACAGCUCUGAUGGAACACAGGUAACUGGGGGGCUGCGGGGGGCCUGAUGGACCGGACCAGGCCUGGUCCCCAGACUGGGGCACGAUGGGCAUUGAGAAUCAAGAUUGAUAAUGCCAAGAUGGCACUCAUCCUGCACCAGACCCCUCUCCAGGUUUGCAGAGGAGGGAGUCGCACAGACUCCUCAGCAAAUAGGACUGCCUAGAUUCUCAACCGUUCUCUCCUCUCUUGGGCUUCCUAUGCGCCCCUUCUUCUUAGCGAAAAGGGAAUUUAGGAUAUAGAUCAUUUAGAUCUUCCUCUCUUCCCGCACACAAAGCUCCCUCUGAUGCAUGUAUCGCUCCAGUGUGCCUGCUUACAGCAGUCCCCAUCCCCGGGCUGCUGCCGCUGGGGAUGAGGAACUGCCCUGCUGCGUGCGCACAAGCCUAUGGCUACAGCACGGCCAAGGGGGGGCUGGUUCACACACACCCCACCAAGCACGGCCAUGGGCUCUUGAGCACUGCACUGAGCCUUCCACACCAGUCUGAAAUCAAGGGAGGCAAGAGCAUGACCCAGCAAGAGUCCCAUCAGCCGCGGUGGGCAGAUGGAAAAGCAAGUGAUGGAGCUGUGGUUUCGCUGUGCGUGUUUUCUGCUCAUAUACUGACCCCUAUUUGUUUGGGUAAGUCAAGGCUCAACCAUCUGGGAGUGGAGAGUUACUGUGCAGAGGCCUAUGUAUGUCCAUAAAACUGCUCCCACCCUGCCUCCCCCAUCCUGUUUUCCGCUCAGUGGUAGGAUCCCACGUUCUCAGGAAUAUGGUCCCACUUCCACGCCAAAGCCAGUUCCUCAGCCUGGUGAUCCUAUAGUGAUUCCUGGCUGGCUCUGCUCAGGGUUCAGCUGGGGGCACCUCCUUCAGGAGGUCACACAUCCCGCAGGCUGGCGAGAGGAAAAGAGCCCCCAGAGCAACACCAUCAGUCACACAGCACAGACAGCGCCGACACCACGUCAGCCCCAGCCCCAGGUACCACCUCCCUUUCAUCCAGGAGGAUUUAUCCAUGAUGAGAUGUACCCCUACACCAGUCACAGCUUUAGCAAGUCCAGUUUCCUGAAGGAAAAGCCUUGGGGAAUAUGAGCUGGUUUGUGCAACAGUGGGUUUGGAUCAGGUGAUUCCAUGAUGGAAUCACCGCAGAGGACAAAUUACCGUCCUAUUUCCCCUGUACAAUUCCCCCCACAGGGAAAAGCACAGCCGGGGCCAAGCUGGGGUGAGAAGGAAGAUUUACCUUCAACCCCAAAGCGCCCUUCCUUGUAGAUGUACACAAAGCACCAGUCUCCACUCUGUAUUCAUAGGACAAUUGCUCAAGGAAUGGCUUUGCAUAUGACUGCCUCAUCCUAUACAAGACCUGACAUCAGUCCUUAAAGACAGGUUAAAAACCAAGUAUCUUUGCCCUCAAAUCACCACAUGGGAAGGUUUGAUGAUAUGAGUGGGUAAAGCUAAGAAAGAAAGAGGUUUAGGGGAAGAGGGUUACAGCCAAAAGCUGCUCUAAGGGGAGGGAACCCCCUGAUUUCCAUAGCUGUGGAGGUAAUAGUGGGCCUGAGCAGCAGGAAUGAUUCAGGUAUUAGGAAAAGAGCCUUCUGGUGGAAGGAGUAGAGAAGCACUGGAACAACCCAGGAGGAGGAGAAAUCCCUGUGUAGAGGAGACACCGGGGAAGCACCAAGCAGGGGUCCCAAGGCAGCACUGGUCCCUCCAGCCUUACACAGAAGGUGCCAUCACACAUCUAUUUCCACUGGAAGAAUGGAAAAGCCCCCAACUAUCUUCAUGUCUUUUCCUAAGCCCAAAGGGUUCAUUGUGUCACCACUGAGACCUGGAAUGGUACCACUGCUCGAGUGGCAAUCACAGAGCACAGUGGCUAUAAAGGCCAAGGCUUGUCAUCCUCAUAUAAGAACAAGGUUGAAGCAUCCCAAAAGAAGUGAUCAAAUUCAAGGAGUCGUCUUUCCCAGAAAGACAGAAAUGGGAUGCACCAUUAUCAAUCCUACGGAAACAAUCCUAUUUGGGAUUACUUCCUCACACAGUUUGUCCCAAGCCAGCUCAAAACCAUCUGAGAGCAUCGUCAAGGUGUAAUACCCCCUGGUAAUAUCUCUGAGGGACUGCUCUUUUCUUUCACCUCCUAAUAGCUCCCUGACCACCUUCUUCCUGGGUAUGUUUGCAGAAACAAAGGAAAACAGUGACAAUCCGAUGAGUGCAGGAUUAUAUAUAUAUAUUAUACAGCUGUAUCCACAGCUUUCUUGUCCCCCUGGAACGGACAUGCCCAGGGGACUUGCAGAGUCAGACAGGGCAGGAUUCAAACACUCACUCAGGACCCUGGACUCUGCCCCACUGCCCAGGGAGGGAAGAGGAGACUUUUUAGGCUAUCAGGACAAUUCACCCCACCUCAGCACGGCUUUCCCAGCCUGGCUGCUGGAGCUUUGGCACCAGGAGGUCAGGGAUGCUUGGGCAGCCAUCCUCCCCUGCUGCAGAGCUCACCCAUGCCCUUUAUGAAGCGGUGGUAGGACUCAGAGCACAGGGAUCACUUCCUGCAGAAGCAGGGUGAACGAUAGAGGGAUAAGGCCACUCUUGCUAAGGCCGAGGUGACCGCAGGAUGGCACUGCUGCCACUUCAGGGACAACAUCCCCAUGCCAAGACCUGCAAUCAGAGAGGACAGGGUGCUGCAGGCGGUGCUGAUAAACCAGGUGCUCUUUCUGUCACUUAACCACCGAUGAAUGAUUCGGUAUCUGGGAUCUACGCAGGCCCUGAGCUACGAAUUUGGGUUCAAGACUGCGGCUUGAAUUAAAUUUCAUUCUAAGGAGGGAAUUCUGCCUCCUUCUGCCAGUCUAGCCCUGCUUCCUCAGUGGUGAGAGCCACCUCUGCUCUGGCAUUCAUAGAAACACCAGAAGUGAUGCUCUACCAGGUUCUUUCACCCCCAGCUUUUUAGUCCAUCAUCCCUGUUCCUUUGCUGCCCCAGUUCUGAAACCCUCUCUGUCUUACAGCGGAAAAGCAGCCAGGCAUCCUGCAGCCAGCUCUUUUCCCAUCCCUUCUGUCUCCUAGAGCCUGAUGUCCCCUCUGCUAGGUACAGGAGGCUGCUGGGCAGAGGCUGCUGCUGUGCACAAGGUGGCACUCGCUCCCCAUCAUAGCAAGAGCCUGCAGGAGGCACAGGGAACGUGCUGCGAGGUGCAGAGCAGGCGUUGGGUUAUUCCUGUCAGAAGAUACACGCUCCGAUUCCUUCCCUGCACACCCCGGCCCCUCUCUGGAUACUCAAACCACCGACCUGCUCAUGCACAGGUCCUGUAUUUAACUAGCAGCAAGGCUGGAUGCCAGGGCCUCCACUUCCAUGGAUGCGCUGGAUGUUGGUCAAGAGUUUGUAUCUAAAAUGACAGGGCUGGAAGGGUGCAAGGACCAUAACCUUCCCUGUCUCUGCAAAUUAGUGCUGUGAUAAAGCAGACCACCUGAAGCCCUUUCUCCCCUUAAGGGUGGAAGGUUAGAGUCUUCCUAGAUCACCCAUAGAUAGGCAACUAGUCCUCCCUCCUUUCACUCACCUCCACAGGCUUUCCAACUGGGAGCCACAUAAGAGCUUCUCCAUCCCCAAAGACAGCACAAGCCUCCCCUUCCCCAGCUUUGCCCUCCCAAGCUCACUGUGGUACCCAGCCUCCAGAGAGACUGGAUGCUCCCUAACACUCCACUGCACAGUGGUAACCUCCAAUCUGCCCCCACUACCUCAUUUCAGGAAAGCCUGUAUCCCUUCCCAUAUGGAAAUGUGAGAUGGCUUAAAGAUGUUCAGAUGCAAGAAAUUGUCAUCCCAGACUGGUUUGGGUUGGAAGGGACCUUAAAGCUCAUCCAGUUCCAACCCCCUGCCAUGGACAGGGACACCUUCCACUAGACCAGGUUGCUCAAAGCCCUAUCUAACCUGUCCUGCGGUGUUCAGAAGCUUGCUUGCAGCUGCUGAGCUUGAUUUUAGCUGUUACAUGACACAAGGAGCUUGCUCCUGGCUCACCUCUUUCCCAACAGCAUCUCUAAAUGAGUAGUGAUAUUUAAAUGAGAUCUACAGAAAUCACCUGAUAUGAUGUGUCAAAUCUCUCGCAUUUAGAUAAGAAAAUAAUGAGAAGCAGAGGAAAGGAGGGGGAUAUGCACGUGAGAAUCUGCCAAAAGCUCAUACAUCAGCUCACAGGAGGAAGGACUUGUAUCACAUGCUGGUAAAUAGGCAAUAUCCCUGUAAGAGUGGUUACUUGUAGCCUGGUACCCUCGUAAAACACAUUGCACGGGGUUUUGCAGCAGGAGUGCUUGAUGCCAAGGCACAAGGCUGCCAAGUCCAGGGGCAACCAAGCUGCGGUCUCAGAGCAUAGGGCAUGAAAAGUUGACACCAAAGUGCCUGGAAAUAAAAUAAGGGAGAGGGGAACACAUAGACAACACCUCAAAACUGGGAUGUAGCUAAAGCACCACUGGAAACUGGCCAGUGGAAGCAGGAGGACAUGGGGGCUGUUCCACUGUGCUGCCUGGCAGCCUUCUGCUGUAAGUUGGGUCUGCUGGCAGCACAAACCCUUCCCACCAAAGGCUCCCCCUUUCCUAGUGCAGCCAGCAAGUAAUGGACAGCCAAAGUCAGACAUUCACAGUACCAAAACCCUGAUGCAAAACUUCCCCUCCUGGCAGCCUGUCUCUUCACAGCUAAAUGCAGGUGCAGAUGCCAGAGACAGGAAAGCUUUUGGCAUUAUUGCAGGAAAAGAUGUAGAAAUGCUGUAGGAAGUUACAUUCCAAUUAGCUCCACGUCCAUGGUGGAGUAAGCAUUACAAAGCAUUUAAAAGAUCAAAUGCAAAAGCACAGCUUGAGUAAUAAGGACCAAGGUGGUUUCAGCUAGGAACAGUUGUGGUUAAUCUGAUGGAGCUCUUUGAGGCUGUAACUGCUACAGCAGUCAAAGUGGAGGCAACAGGCAGAGCGCAAUUAGGUUUGCAGCAUGCAGUGGUCAAGGCUUUGCAAAAGAAGCUAAUGACUGAGAUGGGGAGUCCCAGAAUAAGUGGAUGUGCUGUGGCUUAAUGCUCUGGAAAUUGCCCAGAAACAAAGAGGCAAGCAGGAAGGUAGUAAUGAAAACCUUCUAUGUCAGAAGGAAAUGAUUCCUGGGAUGGAGCAACACAGCUGGCUUGUCUGGAGCAGAACAGGCAGGAAGGUAAGACACAGAGCUCAUAUGGGCAGGGGGCUGUAUUUCAGCUUGGAACAUCACGUUCCACGACCCCUCCUGCCCCAAACAAACAAUUCUCUCCUUUCUUCAAACAGAGAUGCUGGAAUUCUGCUUUUUGCAUUCUCUCCCUUGUUUUUCUGCUCUAAUACUUGUGGGUUUGUGUUUUUUUUCCCUCCUUUUAAGCAAAUCAGAAACUCCUUUCAGAACACGCAGUGCCAUCGACAUGGGGAUGGAGCAGUUACACGCUGUGAUCACAUCAUGGGAAGCCCAAGUACACACUAUGCCAGAUGGUGCUAACUGAGAGUUACAUUCCCCAUAUCCUUCCCUCCACACAUUCUGCAGGCGAAAGGGAAUGGCAGCACUGAUAAGAACUGCAGAGCUUCACAAACCGACUGUGGCUUUAUUUAUCUGCAAGUUGUUGCAGGAAGGAAACCCCACCCUUGCAGAAGCCCCUUCUCAUGGAUGGGCUGCAUUCACCCCCACGGGAUGCGCUCUCACUAAAAAUGUGGAAAAGGGGUUGGUUUCCCUGUUUUUAUCUCUGAAACAGUCUCUGAUGUAUUGCGCCUUCCAGUCCUCCUCCCUCCUAUUUGGUUUCAUUUUUAAUCAUGCCACUUCUCUCUUUGUUAUCAUCAUUAAUACCUCUAAUGCACUUCUUAUAAGAAACAGGAGGAGAUUGCCAGCUAGUGAAAUCAGCAGUGUCUGGGGCUGUGCCAAUUCCCUUCAGCUCAGACACACGCCAAUACAGUCACCACCUUCUCAGUUGUAUGAAGAAAAAGCACUAUUUCUUACUGUACCUUGCUUCGAAGCUUACAAAUAUAUGUAUGUAUACACACAUCUAUAUAUAAUAUACACUCAUACACAUAAAAGCUGCUAUCUAGUGAAGAAAUGCCAGUGUUUAUUCCAGAGUGUGAUUUGUUUGGAAAACUAAUGGCUUCUUAUGUGCAGAACGUUCUUAAUUCUACUGAGGAGGAGAAGUGCUGUGUAGAAUGAAGCCUGAGAAAGCUGCAAAACCAACUGCAUUGGAAAUGGGGACAUUAGAUCACCAAGAAAAUCCAUUUUAACUAUCUGGGGCUCCUGUUUGUACAACAUGUCCUGGGGGUAGAGGUGUCAGAGCGGUGCUGCCUGUACAUUGCCUCUCUCUGUGAUGCCAUGGCUCUUAUAGCUCAUCUUUCAAACAGACAGUACAUUUCCUGCAGUCACCGGGCUGGGGAAGCUUUCAGCCUCUGGAUAAACUUCACCAGACUGACUAAUGGCUCAGCUGGGGUCCAGGGAAUAAUUCAAACUGCUUCUUUAUCACUAUGGGAGCAACAACUGCGGCAUGCUUUAACAGCCACCAGCCUCUCAGGAAAGCCCAGGUGAGCUUCUCACUGCAGGUGUGUUGGUGAAGCUGAUGAUCAUACACAUGGCACAUGUCCCCUUUUCCCUCCCCUCCUAUCUUUCUGUUUCUCUCUAACAUAACCACAACUGUCACACUUUAAACAGCAAUAAAGAACAAAACAAAUCACAGAAUUACUCUCACAUUUCCUCCCCCCUUUGCUCAGGUUUCACAUGCCCCACUUGCAGAACAAGCUUUUCUACCAGCUUUUGACUACUAAUGACACCAAAGUCUGGAGUAUCUCUGAAUGAAAACUGCAUCUGUCCAAUGACUGAAAAGCACAAAAGCACUGCUGCCUAAACACCUUCUAUCUUUUUACUCAUUACCUCUAUGGGCCACAUACUUCCUUGAGCAUCAGUCUGUCAGGAGGAGGUACUGAGAAUCAGACUGCAUGCUCUCUCAAGCCGUAACACAGGUCACAUUACACAGUAAUGAUACUUUUCUGCAUGUUUCUGAGGAUGGUUAUGCCUCACAACCCACCCUAGUUUCAUAGAAUCACAGACUAGUUUGGGUUGAAGGGAGCUUAAAGCUCAU